ACGAACGCUGGCGGCGCGCCUAACACAUGCAAGUCGAACGGAAAUGAUUGAAGUUUACUUUGGUCAUUUUAGUGGCGGACGGGUGAGUAACACGUGAGCAACCUGCCUUUCAGAGGGGGAUAACGUUUGGAAACGAACGCUAAUACCGCAUAACGUAUACGGAUGGCAUCGUCUGUAUACCAAAGGAGGAAUCCGCUGAAAGAUGGGCUCGCGUCCGAUUAGCUAGAUGGUGAGGUAACGGCCCACCAUGGCGACGAUCGGUAGCCGGACUGAGAGGUUGACCGGCCACAUUGGGACUGAGACACGGCCCAGACUCCUACGGGAGGCAGCAGUGAGGGAUAUUGGGCAAUGGGGGCAACCCUGACCCAGCGACGCCGCGUGAGGGAAGACGGUCUUCGGAUUGUAAACCUCUGUCUUUGGGGACGAAAAAGGACGGUACCCAAGGAGGAAGCUCCGGCUAACUACGUGCCAGCAGCCGCGGUAAUACGUAGGGAGCGAGCGUUGUCCGGAAUUACUGGGUGUAAAGGGAGCGUAGGCGGGAAGGCAAGUUGGAUGUGAAAACUGUGGGCUCAACCUACAGACUGCAUUCAAAACUGUUUUUCUUGAGUGAAGUAGAGGCAAGCGGAAUUCCUAGUGUAGCGGUGAAAUGCGUAGAUAUUAGGAGGAACACCAGUGGCGAAGGCGGCUUGCUGGGCUUUUACUGACGCUGAGGCUCGAAAGUGUGGGGAGCAAACAGGAUUAGAUACCCUGGUAGUCCACACCGUAAACGAUGAUUACUAGGUGUGGGCGCGAUAAGCGUCCGUGCCGGAGUUAACACAAUAAGUAAUCCACCUGGGGAGUACGGCCGCAAGGUUGAAACUCAAAGGAAUUGACGGGGGCCCGCACAAGCAGUGGAGUAUGUGGUUUAAUUCGAAGCAACGCGAAGAACCUUACCAGGUCUUGACAUCGUGCGCAUAGUCUAGAGAUAGAUGAAGUCUUUCGGGACGCAUAGACAGGUGGUGCAUGGUUGUCGUCAGCUCGUGUCGUGAGAUGUUAGGUUAAGUCCUGCAACGAGCGCAACCCCUGUGAUUAGUUGCCAACAGGUUAAGCUGGGAACUCUAAUCAGACUGCCGGUGAUAAAUCGGAGGAAGGUGGGGAUGACGUCAAAUCAUCAUGCCCCUUAUGACCUGGGCGACACACGUACUACAAUGGCAAUGACAGAGGGAAGCAAGAUAGCGAUAUGGAGCAAACCCCUAAACAUUGUCCCAGUUCGGAUUGCAGGCUGCAACCCGCCUGCAUGAAGCCGGAAUUGCUAGUAAUCGCGGAUCAGCAUGCCGCGGUGAAUACGUUCCCGGGCCUUGUACACACCGCCCGUCACACCACUCGAGUCGUCUGCACCCGAAGUCGCCGGCCGAACCCGCAAGGGGCGGAGGCGCCGAAGGUGUGGAGGGUAAGAGGGGUG
rnacentral:rRNA from 1 species